GCAGUUGUGGCCUAGUGGAUAUGGUGAUUGACUUGUGGUCUGAAGGGUGCUGGUUUGAUCCCCAGCCCCAACUUCC